rnacentral:rRNA from 1 species
UACGUAGGGUGCAAGCGUUGUCCGGAAUUAUUGGGCGUAAAGAGCUCGUAGGCGGUCUGUCGCGUCGGCUGUGAAAACCCGGAGCUCAACUCCGGGCCUGCAGUCGAUACGGGCAAACUGGAGUGUUGCAGGGGAGACUGGAAUUCCUGGUGUAGCGGUGAAAUGCGCAGAUAUCAGGAGGAACCCCGGUGGCGAAGGCGGGUCUCUGGGCAACAACUGACGCUGAGGAGCGAAAGCGUGGGGAGCGAACAGG